rnacentral:rRNA from 1 species
GUGGGGAAUUUUGGACAAUGGGCGCAAGCCUGAUCCAGCAAUGCCGCGUGCAGGAAGAAGGCCUUCGGGUUGUAAACUGCUUUUGUACGGAACGAAACGGUCCGGGUUAAUACCCUGGGCUAAUGACGGUACCGUAAGAAUAAGCACCGGCUAACUACGUGCCAGCAGCCGCGGUAAUACGUAGGGUGCAAGCGUUAAUCGGAAUUACUGGGCGUAAAGCGUGCGCAGGCGGUUUUGUAAGACAGGCGUGAAAUCCCCGGGCUCAACCGGGGAAUUGCGCUUGUGACUGCAAGGCUGGAGUGCGGCAGAGGGGGAUGGAAUUCCGCGUGUAGCAGUGAAAUGCGUAGAUAUGCGGAGGAACACCGAUGGCGAAGGCAAUCCCCUGGGCCUGCACUGACGCUCAUGCACGAAAGCGUGGGGAGCAAACAGGAUUAGAAACCCGGGUAGUCC